GAUGAACGCUGGCGGCGUGCCUAAUACAUGCAAGUCGAGCGAACAGAUGAGGAGCUUGCUCCUCUGACGUUAGCGGCGGACGGGUGAGUAACACGUGGAUAACCUACCUAUAAGACUGGGAUAACUUCGGGAAACCGGAGCUAAUACCGGAUAAUAUAUUGAACCGCAUGGUUCAAUAGUGAAAGACGGUUUUGCUGUCACUUAUAGAUGGAUCCGCGCCGCAUUAGCUAGUUGGUAAGGUAACGGCUUACCAAGGCAACGAUGCGUAGCCGACCUGAGAGGGCGAUCAGCCACACUGGAACUGAGACACGGUCCAGACUCCUACGGGAGGCAGCAGUAGGGAAUCUUCCGCAAUGGGCGAAAGCCUGACGGAGCAACGCCGCGUGAGUGAUGAAGGUCUUCGGAUCGUAAAACUCUGUUAUUAGGGAAGAACAAAUGUGUAAGUAACUAUGCACGUCUUGACGGUACCUAAUCAGAAAGCCACGGCUAACUACGUG
rnacentral:rRNA from 1 species